rnacentral:rRNA from 1 species
UACGUAGGCAGCGAGCGUUGUUCGGAGUUACUGGGCGUAAAGGGUGUGUAGGCGGUUGUUUAAGUUUGGUGUGAAAUCUCCCGGCUCAACUGGGAGGGUGCGCCGAAUACUGAAUGACUUGGAGUGCGGGAGAGGUGAGUGGAAUUCCUGGUGUAGCGGUGAAAUGCGUAGAUAUCAGGAGGAAUACCGGUGGCGAAAGCGACUCUCUGGACGGCAACUGACGCUGAGGCACGAAAGCGUGGGGAGCAAACAGG